rnacentral:rRNA from 1 species
ACGGAGGAUGCAAGCGUUAUCCGGAUUUAUUGGGUUUAAAGGGUGCGUAGGCGGCCUUGUAAGUCAGUGGUGAAAACCUGCAGCUCAACUGUAGGCGUGCCAAUGAAACUGUGAGGCUUGAGUGACGUUGAGGCAGGCGGAAUGUGUAGUGUAGCGGUGAAAUGCUUAGAUAUUACACAGAACACCGAUUGCGUAGGCAGCUUGCUAAAGGUUAACUGACGCUGAUGCACGAAAGCGUGGGGAUCGAACAG